UGGGAAACCUGCCCAGAAGCGGGGGAUAACACCUGGAAACAGAUGCUAAUACCGCAUAACAACUUGGACCGCAUGGUCCGAGUUUGAAAGAUGGCUUCGGCUAUCACUUUUGGAUGGUCCCGCGGCGUAUUAGCUAGAUGGUGGGGUAACGGCUCACCAUGGCAAUGAUACGUAGCCAACCUGAGAGGGUAAUCGGCCACAUUGGGACUGAGACACGGCCCAAACUCCUACGGGAGGCAGCAGUAGGGAAUCUUCCACAAUGGACGAAAGUCUGAUGGAGCAACGCCGCGUGAAUGAACAAGGGUUUCGGCGCGUAAAACUCUGUUGUUAAAGAAGAACAUAUCUGAGAGUAACUGUUCAGGUAUUGAC
rnacentral:rRNA from 2 species